GACGAACGCUGGCGGCGUGCCUAAUACAUGCAAGUCGAACGCACAGUUUAUACCGUAGCUUGCUACACCAUAGACUGUGAGUUGCGAACGGGUGAGUAACGCGUAGGUAACCUGCCUGGUAGCGGGGGAUAACUAUUGGAAACGAUAGCUAAUACCGCAUAAUAUUAAUUAUUGCAUGAUAAUUGAUUGAACGAUUCAACUGCAUCACUACCAGAUGGACCUGCGUUGUAUUAGCUAGUAGGUGAGGUAACGGCUCACCUAGGCGACGAUACAUAGCCGACCUGGGAGGGUGAUCGGCCACACUGGGACUGAGACACGGCCCAGACUCCUGCGGGAGGCAGCAGUAGGGAAUCUUCGGCAAUGGCCGAAAGUCUGACCGAGCAACGCCGCGUGAGUGAAGAAGGUUUUCGGAUCGUAAAGCUCUGUUGUAAGGGAAGAACGGGUGUGAGAGUGGAAAGUUCACACUGUGACGGUAUCUUCACAGAAAGGGACGGCUAACUACGUG
rnacentral:rRNA from 1 species